CACUUGCUUUUUAAUUAAAAGAUAGUAUGAAAGGAACAACGACAUAAAACUGUCUCAAAUGAUAUAACAAACUUAGCUUUUAUGUAAAAAGACAUAAAUAAAUAAUCAAGACGACAAGACCCUGACAAACUUAAUAUUUAGUUGGGGCGACAAAUUAAAAAAACCUUAAUAAUUAUUAUCAACCAAAACCUAUACAAUAGAUAGAGACUAGUUACUGCAGGGAUAACAGCGCAAUUUUUCUCAAGAGUCCCAAUCCAAAGAAAAGCUUACGACCUCGAUGUUGAAUUAACUUAACUAAUUAAGCGCAAAAGCUAAUAAAGUCAGUCUGUUCGACUAAUAACCAGUU
rnacentral:rRNA from 1 species